UUAAAUUUGCCAUGGGUACAGUCGUAAGUGGAGGUCGAGGUUGGGUAGAUUCACUUGGUCCACUCACUACUCUAGUUCACUUUUAUCCAUUCCGCCUCUACUGAGAACACAAUCCUUCAAAGCCGCCUCCACAUUCUUCCCUGCAGACAGCUGCAAACCAUUUGGGCAAGCAUGGAGAUUUAUUGCAGUCUACACAGCACCCAUCUAUCUAAAUCUCUUCAUUCACAUUCUUUCCUUCCACCAUUUAAAAAAUGUUACAGAAAAUUUCCACAACACAGAAAAGUGUUGGUUCAGUGUUCCAUUGCAGAAGCGAAAGGAAUUCGAUGGGGUUGCGAAAUCGACUCUCUGGAUAAUGCAUAUCGAUUGCAGGAUUGGCUGAACAAGGAGGGUCUUCCGCCUCAAAAACUCGCAAUUCAGAAGGUCGACGUGGGUGGCAGGGGACUCGUGGCCCUUAAAAACAUACGUAAAGGGGAGAAAUUGCUUUAUGUUCCCCAAAAUCUCAUUAUUACCCCUGACUCUGCCUGGAGUACUCCUGCUCUAGGUGAUAUCCUGCGUAGGAACAGUGUGCCUGAAUGGCCAUUUCUCGCAAUAUAUUUAAUCAAUGAAGCAAGUCUGAAUAGGUCUUCAAAAUGGAAUGCAUACAUUUCAGCCUUACCUCGCCACCCAUACUCAAUUCUGCAGUGGUCUCGUGCUGAAGUAGAGAUGUACUUGGCUGCUUCACCAGUCAAAGUGCAAGCUAUAGAAUGCAUCAAUGAUGUUAAUGAAACGCACCAGGAUUUGCAAACCAGGAUAUUUUCCAAGUAUCCUGACUUAUUUCCGCAAAAGGUGUUCAAUUUGGAGACAUUAAAAUGGGCAUUUGGUAUCCUUUUCUCUCGUUUGGUUCGUUUACCAUCUAUGAACAAUCAAAUUGCUUUAAUUCCAUGGGCAGACAUGCUUAACCAUAGCUCAGAGGUAGACACAUAUUUGGACUUUGAUGUAUUAUCGAAGGGGAUUGUUUUUGCUGCUGACAAAGCAUAUCAACCAAGGGAACAAGUGUUUAUAUCCUAUGGGAAGAAGUCAAAUGGUGAGCUUCUACUUGCAUGUGGGUUUGUGCCAGAGGAGGGUACUAAUGCAGAUGAUUCAGUGGCACUGCCAUUAGCAAUUGAUAAAAGUGACAGUUGCUAUGAUCAGAAGUUGGAACUUCUGCAGAGGCAUGGUUUGUCAACGCCUCAGAGCUUUCCUCUUAAAAUGACUGGCUGGCCCACACAAUUAGAAGCUUAUGCUUUCUUGGUUGUCAGCCCUCCAUCUAUGGCUCAACAAUUUGAGAAGUUGGCUGUUGCUGCCUCGAGUACUGGUGCUUAUGGAUCUGGCUUGAGCUUCCCUGAAGAAUUGAGAGUAAAGGCAUUUCAGCUCAUUUUAGACACUUGUGAAACUAGCAUCUCAAAAUACACUGCCUACAUAGAGAAUGUGCAGAAAAAUGGACGCCAAAAUUUGAGUGACAGGCAGGCAUUGCUUAAGAAAUUGUCUGUGGACUUGUGUUCUGGUGAACAAAGAAUAUUAUUUCGUGCUCAAUAUGUUCUUCGAACAAAACUGAAAGAUCUACAAGGUGUUGGAUUAAAGGCAUUGAAUGUGUUUAAUGGAGUCAAAAGGUUGUUCUCAUGAGAUGGAAAAAUUCUUGUAACGUGUACUCUAUCAUAACAUGGUUUAAAAGAAGAGUAUUCUCUGAUUCUUGGAAAAGAUCUUAACCUCAUGGCCAAUCUGAAUGUUGUGAAAGCUAGAGGAGCAGACAGAAAAUAAAAAAUAAUGCAUCCCAAGUAGGCAGAUAAUAUGAGAAGCUUCCAAUAGAUUCAUCAUAUCUAGUAAAUGUGGUAAUGUGGUUAUGUAGCAGGCUGUGUGAGCUGCUCAUUUUGUUAUAAAUAGUGAUUACCUUCUUUUCUAUAAUUCA